UUUAGCACAAGCAGGAGGGGAUCCAAAGGAAAGAAAUGUGCAGAGAAAAUAUUUAUUCUUCUCAAGUUGUGAUUCGAGUGAAGCUAAGCAGGGUCCUGCAAUUAUCUGCACUGUAUUUGGUAUUAGUUUCAUGCCUGACAUCUGAUCAUAUCAGAACUCUAAGACCCUGGCUAUGGAGUAUUGCCUCAAUAAAUUACAGAAGAAACUGAGAACCCUUAAGAGCCUGCUUGGAGUAAAACCCAUGAAACUGUGAAUGACAAAAAAAGCAGAGACGGUACUUCAGGUAAAAUGCCACCAAAAAAACAGUACCAGAGACGCUCUGGGGGAAAUAGCCCACCAAAGGUACCCCCGCCAACGUCAUCAGACAAGAUUGAGAAAUCUCUGAAGACCACUCCAGUUGCUGCUAAGACCCGCAGCAAUAAAGUAAAUUCACCAGGGUCAAAUAUGUUGGAAGGAUCACGCUUCUCGGUCCUGGCUGAGGUGGAUGAUGCGGGAGAGUUGAAUAAAAGAGGGGGAGUGGUGGACCAGGAUGGUAGCUCUGAAGUUCUGACUAACAUACGUAAAGAAGUGCAGCAUUGUAAUACCUCCAUAAAUAAUCUCACAAUGCAAGUGGGCUCACUAUCCACCAAGGUAAUGAUAGUCCAGGACGAAGUUAAUAAAAUCAGAGAUCGGACUCUACAAAUGGAAAAAAUAAUGCAAGGGAUUGAAAAGGCCAAAUAUGCUCUGAGGGAAGAAACUAAAUCAUCAAAAAGAGAAAUAGAUACUUUGAAAGCUAAAAUUAUA